rnacentral:rRNA from 1 species
AUCUACGGCCAUGCUACUCUGAACAAGCCUGAUCCCAUCUGAUCUCAGAAGCUAAGCAGGGUCGGGCCUGGUUAGUACUUGGAUGGGAGACCACCUAGGAAGACCAGGUGCUGUAGGCA